CGCCCAAACUCCGGUUGAUCCUGCCGGACCCCACUGCUAUCGGGGUGAGACUAAGCCAUGCGAGUCGAACGCCCCAAGCUAUGGUGGGGCGUGGCGUACGGCUCAGUAAAACAUGGUCAACCUACCUUCAGGACGGGGAUAACCUCGGGAAACUGAGGCUAAUCCCCGAUAGGUGAGAGAACCUGGAAUUGGUCUCUCACCGAAAGGGUGUUGGAGCCAUGCUCUCCAACACCGCCUGAAGAUGGGACCAUGUCCGAUCAGGUUGUUGGCGGGGUAACGGCUCGCCAAGCCUAUAACCGGUACGGGCCGUGAGAGCGGGAGCCCGGAGAUGGACCCUGAGACAAGGGUCCAGGCCCUACGCGGCGCAGCAGGCGCGAAACCUCCGCAAUGCGGGAAACCGCGACGGGGUCACCCCGAGUGCCACCCGCUGAGGGUGGCUUUUACCCGGUCUAACCAGCCGGGUGAAUAAGGGGAGGGCAAGCCUGGUGUCAGCCGCCGCGGUAAUACCAGCUCCCCGAGUGGUGGGGACGAUUAUUGGGCCUAAAG
rnacentral:rRNA from 1 species